rnacentral:tRNA from 1 species
GGGCCCGUUGCGCAGUCUGGAUACACUUCAUACCAGAAAACGCGUCGGCCCUCUAAGCCGAAGAGCCUGGGUUCAAAUCCCAGCGGGCCCGCCA